GAUGAACGCUGGCGGCGUGCCUAAUACAUGCAAGUCGAGCGAACAGACGAGGAGCUUGCUCCUCUGACGUUAGCGGCGGACGGGUGAGUAACACGUGGAUAACCUACCUAUAAGACUGGGAUAACUUCGGGAAACCGGAGCUAAUACCGGAUAAUAUAUUGAACCGCAUGGUUCAAUAGUGAAAGACGGUUUUGCUGUCACUUAUAGAUGGAUCCGCGCCGCAUUAGCUAGUUGGUAAGGUAACGGCUUACCAAGGCAACGAUGCGUAGCCGACCUGAGAGGGGGGUAGGCCACACGGGAACUGGGACAGGGUCCAAACUCCUACGGGAGGCAGCAGUAGGGAAUCUUCGGCAAUGGGCGAAAGCUUGACGGAGCAACGCCGCGUGAGUGAUGAAGGUCUUCGGAGCGUAAAACUCUGUUAUUAGGGAAGAACAAAUGUGUAAGUAACUAUGCACGUCUUGACGGUACCUAAUCAGAAAGCCACGGCUAACUACGUG
rnacentral:rRNA from 1 species